rnacentral:rRNA from 1 species
CAACUAGGAUGUUGGCUUAGAAGCAGCCAUCAUUUAAAGAGUGCGUAAUAGCUCACUAGUCGAGUGACACUGCGCCGAAAAUGUACCGGGGCUAAACAUAUUACCGAAGCUGUGGAUUGUCCGUAGGACAAUGGUAGGAGAGCGUUCUAAGGGCGUCGAAGCAUGAUCGCAAGGACAUGUGGAGCGCUUAGAAGUGAGAAUGCCGGUGUGAGUAGCGAAAGACGGGUGAGAAUCCCGUCCACCGAUUGACUAAGGUUUCCAGAGGAAGGCUCGUCCGCUCUGGGUUAGUCGGGUCCUAAGCUGAGGCCGACAGGCGUAGGCGAUGGAUAACAGGUUGAUAUUCCUGUACCACCUAGUAUCGUUUUAAUCGAUGGGGGGACGCAGUAGGAUAGGCGAAGCGUGCUAUUGGAUUGCACGUCCAAGCAGUAAGACUGAGUGUUAGGCAAAUCCGGCACUCAUAAGGUCAAGCUGUGAUGGGGAGAGGAAAUUGUUUCCUCGAGUCGUUGAUUUCACACUGCCAAGAAAAGCCUCUAGAUAGAUAACAGGUGCCCGUACCGCAAACCGACACAGGUAGUCAAGAUGAGAAUUCUAAGGUGAGCGAGCGAACUCUCGUUAAGGAACUCGGCAAAAUGACCCCGUAACUUCGGGAGAAGGGGUGCUCUUUAGGGUUAACGCCCAGAAGAGCCGCAGUGAAUAGGCCCAAGCGACUGUUUAUCAAAAACACAGGUCUCUGCUAAACCGUAAGGUGAUGUAUAGGGGCUGACGCCUGCCCGGUGCUGGAAGGUUAAGAGGAGUAGUUAGCUUCUGCGAAGCUACGAA